rnacentral:lncRNA from 1 species
CCUUCUUUGUUUCCACCAGUUUUUAGUGCUCUGCCCCUCCAGCAAUUCUCUUGCCGUUAUUUGGUCUCUUUUACACACUUACUUGUAACUCUAUCUACUCUCCAUGGUGGCUUUCCUUCUGUAGCUCUCCUUUGUGGAGGCCUAUAGGAUUUCUGGGUCCACUGCUAUGGCCAUUUGGGUCUUUUCUUCUUGGCAUAAUUCUGAACCGAUUUCCAGGACAAUUGGGCCACUUCCCAACUCCACCAAAAGUGUAUUAAUUAGUGUGCUUGUCCACUUGCCAAGCCUCCAGGGUUUGUUUCUUCUUUCCAUCUUUCUGCCGAGGUGAUGCCGUCUCCAAGUCCUUUUGAUUUGUAUUUCUUCUUAUGCUUGGAGAUUUAGAGCUGUCUUCUGUGGGGUUAGCAAGAGCGCACAAUUGUUCUUUUGAGAACUAGUGGUUCGUGUCUUUGACCACUUCUCCACGGGGGAAGGAUUUUUGAUCUUAUAUAUUUGUGCUAACCGAGGCCCAUUUCUUUCAUGCCACAAUUGUCCUAAUGAAGUUGCGAGGCCAGGAAUGGUGUACCACUGCCUUCUUAGAGACACCUCAAACACACAUGAUCCAAAAGGCAAUGGAGGGAUUCAAGGGGAGUCAAGGGUGCUGAGUAAUGAUCAUGUGGGACGAGGCAUGAGAGAUGACAUCAAGGAUGUUGACGGUCGGGAAGAUGGACAGCACAAGGUGUUGAGCAUGUAGAAACGCAUCUUCUGAGAAAACGGCUGACAAUAGAUGACUUUGGAAUCCAUGUCCUGGCGGUUGGCUUGGCCAACUGGCCCCUGCAGGGCUUGCAUCAAAGUCGUCAGCCAUAGCUAGCAAGAAGAAGCAAGCGUGGCUUGGCUCCUUCACGAUGCUGUCAGUGACAUUGGUACCCAGGGUACGUACCUUGGGACUUUCCAGCUGUCAGUCUCUGAGCUGCACAAGGAGUUGGAAUUCUCUGCUUGGCCUUGCUCUCGUCUCUAAUAACAGUGGAAACCUCAGGAUUGUUUUCCAUUUGUAGACAUUUAAAUCCCUGCUCUUUUCAGAGAGUGACUCGAUGUUGAUGUCACGUUGUAAUAAUUGCCUUUAUUGGCACAGCCAGAUGCUUCUUUUGAACUGCUUCUAACAUCUACAUUUUCCCAGUGUAUUAAUAUCUCA